UCUGCUGAUCUCAGGUCAUCC
rnacentral:snRNA from 1 species